rnacentral:rRNA from 1 species
AUUGAACGCUGGCGGCAUGCUUUACACAUGCAAGUCGAACGGCAGCGGGGAGGAGCUUGCUUCUCUGCCGGCGAGUGGCGAACGGGUGAGUAAUACAUCGGAACGUGUCGAGAAGAGGGGGAUAACCACCCGAAAGGGUGGCUAAUACCGCAUAAAUUCUGAGGAAGAAAGCUGGGGACCUGGGAAUAGGCCUAGCGCUUUUUGAGCGGCCGAUGUCGGAUUAGCUAGUUGGUGAGGUAAAGGCUCACCAAGGCGAAGAUCUGUAGCGGGUCUGAGAGGAUGAUCCGCCACACUGGUACUGAGACACGGCCCAGACUCCUACGGGAGGCAGCAGUGGGGAAUUUUGGACAAUGGGGGCAACCCUGAUCCAGCCAUGCCGCGUGUAUGAAGAAGGCCUUAGGGUUGUAAAGUACUUUUGUUAGGGAAGAAAAGUCAGCUGUGAAUAAUGGCUGAUACUGACGGUACCUAAAGAAUAAGCACCGGCUAACUACGUG